rnacentral:rRNA from 1 species
CGUUCAGGCGGUCAAUCAAGUCGGGCAUGAAAUCUCUCGGCUCAACCGGGCGAGGUUGUCCGAUACUGGCUGACUGGAGGGCAGUAGAGGGUGGUGGAAUUCCGGGUGUAGUGGUGAAAUGCGUAGAGAUCCGGAGGAACACCAGUGGCGAAAGCGGCCACCUGGACUGUACCUGACGCUGAAACGCGAAAGCUAGGGGAGCGAACG